UCCAGUAGCGGACGGCGGAAAGUGUGUUGAGCGCAUGCGUCCUGUGGCAGCCUAGAAAAAGGGGCUGCUGGCGGGCCGCGCUGAAGACAUGGAGCAAGGCUACGGAGGCUAUGGGGCAUGGAGUGCUGGACCUGCCAACACCCAAGGUGCAUAUGGAACUGGUGUGGCCAGCUGGCAAGGUUAUGAGAACUACAAUUACUACGGUGCCCAGAACACCAGCGUCCCCACAGGAGCGACCUACAACUAUGGCCCAGCCUCGUGGGAGGCCACCAAGGCCAGCGACGGCCUGGGGGCUGGGGGCCCUGCCAUGCACAUGGCUUCUUAUGGCCCAGAGCCGUGUACCGACAAUUCCGACUCUCUCAUUGCCAAGAUCAAUCAGCGGUUGGACAUGAUGUCCAAGGAAGGAGGCAGGGGCGGGAGCAGCGGCGGUGGGGAGGGCAUGCAGGACCGGGAGAGCUCCUUCCGCUUCCAGUCGUUUGAGUCCUAUGACUCCAGACCCUGUCUGCCCGAGCACCAGCCCUACCGCCCCAGCUACAGCUACGACUAUGACUUUGACCUGGGCCCUGACCGGAAUGGUGGCUUUAGCAGUCAAUACAGUGACUGCCGGGACCCAGCCCGAGAGCGGGGCUCCCUUGAUGGCUUCAUGCGGGGCCGGGGCCAGGGCCAGGGCCGCUUCCAGGACCGGAGCACCCCCAGCGCCUUCAUGCGCAGCGACCCUUUCUUGCCGCCAGCAGCCUCCUCGGAGCCCCUGUCUGCUCCCUGGCCGGAGCUGAACUACGUGGGUGGACGGGGCCUGGGAGGCCCCUCCCCCAGCAGGCCACCGCCAUCCCUCUUCUCCCAGUCCAUGGCCCCGGACUUCAGUGUGAUGGGCAUGCAGGGGGCCAGCGGUUACGACAACUCUGGGCCCUAUGGAUGCGGCCGGUCACAGACCCGGAUGAGGGAUCGGCCCAGGCGGAGAGGGUCUGAUCGCUGUGGCCCAGAUGGCAUGGGCAGGAAGCGGAAGCAGUUGCAGAUCUACGACGAGCCUGACACCAAACUGGCCCGGGCUGACAGCGAAGGAGAUUUUUCUGAAAAUGAUGAUGGGGCUGCUGACUUCCGGUCGGGAGAUGAAGAAUUCAGGGGUGAGGACGAGUUCUUUGACUCCGGGAGGCAGAGAGGAGAGAAGGACGACGAGGAUGACGAAGUAAAGAAGAGAAAGGAAAAGCAAAGGAGGAGAGACCGCAUGCGAGACCGGGCGGCCGACAGGAUUCAGUUCGCCUGUUCUGUGUGCAAGUUUCGUAGCUUUGAAGAAGAUGAAAUCCAGAAGCAUCUACAAAGCAAAUUUCACAAAGAGACACUGAGGUUUAUAAGUACCAAACUCCCCGACAAGACGGUGGAGUUCCUUCAGGAGUACAUCGUAAACAGGAACAAGAAAAUUGAGAAGCGGCGUCAGGAGCUGAUGGAGAAGGAAAGCACAAAACCCAAACCAGACCCUUUCAAAGGGAUUGGCCAGGAGCACUUUUUCAAGAAGAUAGAGGCUGCUCACUGCCUGGCUUGUGACAUGCUGAUCCCUGCGCAGCAUCAGCUCCUCCAGCGGCACCUGCACUCGGUCGACCACAAUCACAACCGCAGGUUGGCUGCGGAACAGUUCAAGAAAACCAGUCUGCAUGUGGCUAAGAGCGUUCUGAACAACAGACACAUAGUGAAGAUGCUGGAAAAAUACCUCAAGGGGGAAGACCCCUUCACCAAUGAAGCCGUUGAUCCAGAAGUCGAAGGAGAUGACAACUUAGUAGCUGAGGACAAGGAAGAGACCCCUGAAGAGGUGGCUGCGGAGGUCUUAGCCGAGGUUAUUACUGCAGCAGUGAGAGCCGUAGACGGGGCAGGAGCACCUGCUUCGGAAAGCACCGAGGUGCCGGCCGCAGGGGAAGGCCCCGUGGACUCGGCGGAGGCCCCUCGUGGUCCUCACUCCGAACAGCUGGCAGAAGCGGAGACGCCGUGUGGCACGGCCCCUGAGAAGGGCAGCACCGAAGCAGAGGCUGGAGGUGAAGCUGCCCAGGCCGGCAGUGAGACCGCGGAAGCCGGAGGUGAAGUGGCGGCAGAGGGCGCCGAGGUAGUCCCUGCUCCGGGCCCGGCUGCGGCGGGAGCCGGGGAGGAGCAGGUGGAUGCGGAGCCCGAAGGGGCCGUCCCCACAGACUGAGCCUCCUCCCCGCUGCGGGGGAUGCGUUUCAGACACACGUUGCUCGCUCUCCUUUUGUUCUAAGCAGUGCUAGGGUGUGUUACUGGAAUAUGCUGGAAACUUUGGUGAAGAGACCCAGCCGUUUCCUUCCAAACAGUGUACCUCGCGGGCUUGUGUUACAGGUUGUACGGCUCUCUGCCUCGGUGUCAAGGUUGCAGGAGUCGCACGUUCCCCCAUGUGGCUGUGAAAUCUGUCUACAUUGCAGUCGGAGUAAUAAAAUUUUAAGAAUUUGCUGUGGCUUCAGUUUUUGACCUGCUUUGGCAGCGCGCACCGUGUGUGGUGUGUGACCCUCACAAGAUGUGGCAGCAGAAUCUCCUUAACAGGAUGUUGGUUCUGUGACAUCAGUGAACUCGAAGGCCUCAUGAGCCUGACAGACCUGCACCCUUGGACGCGCCCCCCCCCCCCCCCAAGAAUGACAUCUUGCCUAGGGCAUUAUUUUCCCGAGCUUUAGUCUUCAGUGAAUUACCUUUAUAGUUUUUGUUUUUUUACCUCAUUUGUGUUCCACCUUUGUUUCAGGGGUGUUUUUUUUUUUUUCCUUCCUUUCAAAUGAGUUGCUUCUGCUUAAAUAUAUUUAAAAAAAAAACU